rnacentral:lncRNA from 1 species
AAAGCGUUGUUGUUAACUACAUAAGUUUAAGGAAAGCAAAUAAAGAAGAUGAAGUCUGUAACCAUGUCAAUUAAACGGUUCUGCUUGCUUUCGAUGAUAGUAGUUCUUGUGGUUUUCAAUCAGUCAUGUUUAGUGCAUUGCAGAACCCUUCGUUCGACAGGGAAUAACCAUUCUAAAACCAAAUCAAGUGGUGGUGUUAAGCAUGCAAUUUCUGUAAGAAGUAGUCCUAGUGUUCCUUCUCCCCCAGAGGAUUUGAUGUUUGAGCUAGCUUCUGGACCAAACAAGAAAGGCCGCGGUCACUAGUCAUUCGUUCAAUAGAUUUUCUCUCUUUCUCUCCCUCUUACCUCAUUUUUUUUUUUUUUUUUUUUUUCUUUUACAGAAGAUUCUUCUGAUGUAAUUAAAUUGUUCAGAUGAGGUUU